GUGGGUCUGACUUAACUAAGAAAUGUACCAAUAACUGUUAGGUGAGGGCACAAGACUUAGAGAUUGAACCUGCUGCAUUUUGCUUAGUGAAGCAAUGGAUAAGGUGUUGUCCACUCCUUGGUCUGUGCUCACCAAAUAACUGUUAGGUGAGGUAUGAUAGAUUAGUGAGACUGCAGUACUACUAGAAAUCGAUCGCGUAUAGAUUUUUGUUUCUCCACCUGAGAAGUAUGAGAGAUUCAAGAAAAUAAUGGGAGCUCCAUUUGAUUUUAAAAAUCUUUAGAAUAAAUAUUUAAUAAGUAUAAAUAUCUAACUAAAAACUAUUCUCUCUGUAGAUAAUCAUGUCGAGUUCAAACCCUUUAGCCCGUAUCCUUGACAUAAAUAGGUUGACUGAAACAAACUACAAAGACUAGCUCCAAAAUUUGAGAAUCAUUCUCAGUUUCAAAAAGCUAACUCAUGUCCU
rnacentral:lncRNA from 1 species